AAGACAGAGAAACAGCUGGGAGACAAGUGGCUGGAGGCGGACGAGGAGAAGAAGGAGAAAGAGCGAGAGAGGCAUACAGAUCCUCUCCGAAAGGCACUCACAUCAUCUCUCCAUCUGAGCUUCCUUCCACAUGUAAGAAAGACAUCCAGCUUUCUGUUCCUACCUUGGAGCUU